UACGGAGGGUGCGAGCGUUGUCCGGAAUCAUUGGGCGUAAAGGGCGCGUAGGCGGCGUGGUAAGUCACUUGUGAAAUCUCUGAGCUUAACUCAGAACGGCCAAGUGAUACUGCUGUGCUAGAGUGCAGAAGGGGCAAUCGGAAUUCUUGGUGUAGCGGUGAAAUGCGUAGAUAUCAAGAGGAACACCUGAGGUGAAGACGGGUUGCUGGGCUGACACUGACGCUGAGGCGCGAAAGCCAGGGGAGCGAACGGG
rnacentral:rRNA from 1 species